GUUCCUGUCUAGCUGUCUGUCGAUGAAAUGUCAGUUGUUAUUGCGGUUUGCGGCACAGAUGGUGACAUUUUCUGUCGGAAUAUUCUGUGUAUUUUUUAAGUGAUUUCUCGUACUUUCACCGAAUUUUACUGUUUAAAUCGUGCAGUAAAUUAAAUAAAGGUGUUUGUUUACUCCGCUCAUCGUGAAGUACGAGAUUUUGGGAUUCUAAAUUACAGAAACAGUGCUGUUUCCUUGGAAAGACUUGUUUUUUGUGAUUAAUUUGGUUCGUUUAUAAAGCUGUGACUUCAUAAUUCAUCGGCAAGCAGUUUCUAAGGUACGAAUCCUCAAGUCUUGGCAUACCUGAACUCUGCAACUUAAGAUCAUGAACUCAACGGCAAGCCGGUCUACAAGCGUGCAGUGAAGAGAAUGGGACAUUUCCACCGGGCUCCUUCCUUAUCCUCUCCUCAGCC